CACCCCAUGAGAGUCGGGAACACCCGAAGUCCGUAGCCUAACCGCAAGGGGGGCGCGGCCGAAGGUGGGUUCGAUAAUUGGGGUGAAGUCGUAACAAGGUAGCCGUAUCGGAAGGUGCGGCUGGAUCACCUCCUUUCUAAGGAGA
rnacentral:rRNA from 1 species